UACGAAGGGGGCUAGCGUUGCUCGGAAUCACUGGGCGUAAAGCGCACGUAGGCGGUCUUUUAAGUCAGGGGUGAAAUCCUGGAGCUCAACUCCAGAACUGCCUUUGAUACUGGGAGACUUGAGUCCGGGAGAGGUGAGUGGAACUGCGAGUGUAGAGGUGAAAUUCGUAGAUAUUCGCAAGAACACCAGUGGCGAAGGCGGCUCACUGGCCCGCAACUGACGCUGAGACGCGAAAGCGUGGGGAGCAAACAGG
rnacentral:rRNA from 1 species